rnacentral:piRNA from 1 species
UAAUAAAGGCCCCGAUUAUAAGUAGUG